CGGCGUGAAAAAUUUCCCAAGGCGGAGCGAAAACCUUUCCUGAGCGACUGAGCAUGCCCGGUGGUGAAAGUAUAUUCCAUGCUUGGGGUGAAGACUUCUCUCUCUUGCUGGCCAUGAAAAAGAAAGCACAAAGCUUCAGGACUGUUGGCUGCCAUCUUGGAACUAUGAGGGGAACCAGCCUUAGAAUGAACCCAGAUACUGAGGACAGUAGCACACAGGAAUGGAAACAGCUUGCAUCUGUGAUGCCAUCUUUGAGCUGAUAACCGUACUGCAUCUGGAUCCCCAUUCAGUCUCUGGGUUUACAGUUACAGGAGGACCCAUGAGCUUGUGAGGGUCUCAUGACCCACCCCUCAAGCACAUUCCAACCCCUGCUUGCAGUAGGUCUGCUUCUACUCGAAGGCCAAAGAAAGUCAUGUGCAGAAGACCAAGGUAAGCAGUACGCUUGUCCCAGGAGGGAGUAAAUAUUUUGGAAUGUAUUCUAAUCUCCCCCAAGCCUGUAGGCAUAUGCAUUGAAGUGGAAAGAGAGCCAGACUGAGAAUCGGGAGUCCUGAGCUCUGGGUCCAGAUCUGCCGUUAAUGGCUUGUGUGACCUUGGACACAUUACUAAUCCUUUCCGGAUCUCGAAGGCCUAUUCAGACUUUGGCCGUAAGAAGCUAUAGCUUGAAAAAACAAAUCACUGCCUCUCAAACUCCUAAUCUCCUCUCAGUGUAGUUUAGUCUCUUUACUUAUUCUGAGCUAAAAUACACACAGCUCUAGAGCCCCUUCUCAACUGCUGGGCGAAUGGUCAUGACUCUGUUAAUGAUCAAACUGGAGCACCAUGCAGCAGUCCCGCUGGUCACAUGAAAGCUCAGGAAGAAAUGAAGCCACUGGGAAAAGCCACCGAUGCCAUGACCUUCUGUUCCCAGGGCUGGAGUGCAGGCCGAGCCUCUGCUCAGACAGUCUCCAGCAGAUUCUGUUCUGAGAAAUGAAGCGAGACCGUCAGGCUUUUGUGUGAAUUACGGAGGGAGGAUUCACGACGCGGGAAUCAUCCGGUAUCCUCACGACGUGAUCUCUUAAAUCCCGAGCAUCUCUGGGUGGAGGCUUUGCCAUCGUUAGACGGGAUGACUGCUGACUAGGGAGAGAGCCUUCUAAGAACACCAUGUGAUACAGUAAUAGCUGCUACAGUUAAUUGAGCUAUUACCACGUGUCAGGAGCUCUGCUUGAUCCUUCACACACAUGGUCCCAAUUAUUGGAAAAAGCACCCGCUUUUUUUUUUUUUUUUGUGAACUCACCUCGCAUGUGAGCUCUUAGUUCCCUGACCAGGGAUCGAACCCGCGCCCCCUGCACUGGAAGCUCAGAGUCUUAACUACUGGACCACUAGGGAAGUCCCAAGAGCGCCCACUUUGACUUGGAUACAUAUUAGCUCAAAUUCCGGCCUCAUAAUUUACAAGCUGGGUGACCUUCAAUGUGUAGCAUGGGCACGGUUUUUGCCUCUCACCCUAUCUUUCACCCACAACUUCUCUGCCUACCCACAUUCUAUAGCAUGGAUCAUUCCAGCACGUUGACAUCUCACACUUUGGUAGGAGAGAUAAAUAUGUAAACAGCAAACUAUAUUGAAAAUAAAACUCAUGAACCCUUGGGUGGGUCCAUGCUGCAGGCUGGAAAACUCAAUUUAUCUACAACACUGAGGCUAAAUCUCUCUUAAAAAGAAUUGGAGGUUAUAAAGACUUGUCUCAAAAUUUGUGGUUGCUAUUACUGGGAUACACAAAUGAGGUGAAGGAGGUUAUAAUGUAAUGGAAAGGGCAUUGGGAUAACAAUCAGGAGAGCUGAAUUGGAGUCCUGAUUCUGUUGAUCAAAAUGUGUGAUUUGGGGCAAGGUCACUUUUUGAGUCUUGGUUUCCUCACCGGUAAAGUGGGGAAUGUUAACGCCUGUCCUGCAUUCUGCACAGACUUCUUGCAGAGACCCUAGCAAAUAAAAGCUGUCAAUGAGGACUUCCCUGGUGGCGCAGUGGUUAAGAAUCCUCCUGUCAAUGCAGGGGACAUGGGUUCGAUCCCUGGUCUGGGAAGAUCCCACAUGCUGUGGAGCAACUAAGCUCGUGCGCCACAGCUACUGAGCCUGCACUCUAGAGCCCACGAGCCACAACUACUGAGCCUGCGUGUCACAACUACUGAAGCCCGAGCACCUAGAGCCUGUGCUCUGCAACAAGAGAAGCCACCGCAGUGAGAAGCCUGCACGCUGCGACCAAGAGUAGCCACCGCUCGCCGUAACUAAAGAAAGCCCUCAUGGAGCAAUGAAGACCCAAUACAGCCAAAAAAAAAAAAAGCUGUCACUGUUUAGCAGCUCCAUUUUACAAUUUUACAGAUGGAGAAACUGGGGACAAAAAUAUAAUGGUGGGACAGAAGAAAGACAGGUCUCCUAGUAUUUCUCCAACCUCAUCUUGUACUACUGUUCUCCCCAGUUACUCUGUUCUAAUGAUGUUGGCAUUUGGUCCUUUUCUUGAAUAAACCAAGCUCAUUCCCACCUCACAGCCUUUGCCCUUGCUGUUUCCUCUCCCUAGAGUGUUCUUCUCCUAGAUCUUCAUGUUCUUCAAGAAAGGUUUGGCCCCCUGUCCUUCAGGUCUCAGCUCAGACAUC